rnacentral:snoRNA from 1 species
UUUAAGAAUGAUGAAUUACAAAAUUACGAUGUACUCUCGAGUCCUGAGUAUAUAUAAAUUGAACUCAAAAACAUUGCUCAGUUGAGCGUGAGUUUAAGAUGAAGUUAACUUGAAAAUCUGACAAAAAAAAAAAA